GGGGGGGGGGGUUGACCUGGUUGGUGCCAAUGAGGUACAGGUGGAAGCCGGUGAGGCCGCCGACGAACCAGAGAGAGAUGAAGCAGUAGGUCAUGAGAAUGACAGAGGCUGGAGACUCUUUCAUGGCCUUCCAGACCGUUGGGUAAUCGUCGUCCAUGAGAAACUUGAUGUAGAGCGCCGACAUGACGAACACGAAGAUGCAGAGGGCCGUUGAUGAUGAGACGAACAUGAAGAAAUAACGGUAGUUCCGCUGCAUCCAAAUAAAUUCAGGAGAUAACUUCCAAAUAGAAAAAAACAAUUUUUUUUAAAAAAUCAGAGAGCCCAGCUUCUUUAGCCUAGCUAAUGGCAAUUUUUCUGGAUAUUAUUUCUCAGAUGUUCACUGGAAAAUUGUCCCAAAUAGGAAAAAAAAUAAAUCUGAUAAUCUUUUUUUUUUUGCAAGCGGUUAAUGCAUGGUCAGAGAUUCUAGAAAUAUAUAGAAGGCUACUGAAUUAAUACGAUCGUAGAUGCAUAUAAGUUGUGGCUGGAGCAGGUAAGAAAUUAGGAAGAGAAGAGCCUGACGGGCCCACCUGUCCAAUGCACUGCCCGACCCAGGGGCAGUGAUGGUCGAACCGCUCCACACAGUUAUCACAUAUCGAGCAAUGAGAGCACCGAGGGGGACGGUAGAGCAUGCACGUCUCACAGUAUUUGACUUUGACCGUCCUGCCGUUGACCAUGACUUCCUUGAAUCUUGGAAACUGUAGGCUCGGGGUAGGCCUGGCCCCAGCGUCAGCUGCAUUAGAAGGAUCAUAGGAAAGCUCUUCCUCCGGGGGAUGUGAUGCACGUGGGAUAAUACCAGGAUCCCUGGAUGAUGUCAUAAGCAGGAGCACCAGCACCUGCAUCGGCCGUCAUUACCGCAAAUAGGAUGUAAAAUUGUCGGCUGGCUGAAAUGUCUUCAUCACAAUGCCAAAUUAAGGAAACAGGAUAACCAAACGAAGAAACAAAUAAAUCUACACGAAUAUUAGAUGGUUAUGAAGGUUUACAAAAGGAAAAAAUGUGAAUUGGUAUGUUAAUUAUCACUUGAAUUUCGUAUAUUACUUGAAUUGGUAUAAUAAUGAAGACAGGCCUGCUGUGGUUUAAUUAAUUGCAUGCCCAUACUUAUUGAGGCAACCAGGGGGGCAUGGAAUACUUACAUUGACAGUAAAAGCGAUUGUUAUGGCAAGAACAGCAUAUCCCGCAUUAUAUGAAGAAAAUCUGUGCAGAAGAUUCUUUACGACGAACACGCAAAAGAUAACAACGGGCACAACAAUGAGCGAUAUGGUCAUGAGCAGCGACUUCGCAUCGGGUCCGAAUAUACAUCUCCCACCAAAGAAGAACUUCUGGUAAAAGAAAAAAAAACGGUGAUGUGAUGUUAUUUCUGCUGCUUUGAUGAAUCAGUUAUUAGAACGAAAUGUAAGAAUAAAAAGGACAGAGGCCAUAUGAGAAGGUGAUUAAAUCACUAUUGUGUCGGUUCAUACGAGAGCCUGCAGGUAAAUCUUAAGGGAAAUGAGAUUUAAUUUUUUUCAGCCAAUGAUAGAAAUCCCAAGCAUGCUGAUAAGGUCAAGAUGAACUAUCUUAAGGAGUAAAACCUUAAGUGGUAUGUAGUAAUAAAGAUCAUCAAAUGCAGACGGUAUCUAUACAAUUAGUGCAGGUGAAAAUCAUAUGACAGGAGAAAAAGGAAUUUUAAGAUCUUCGGCGACAUAAAAAAUGCUGUACACUCAGAUCGAUAAGCACUACAGAUACAAGUGCUGUAUUGAGUACAGAAAUCAUUUCCCAAAAUCAAAUUGGGCCACUGAUUCCGACCAGCCUCCAAUCCCUACCUCUUUCAGAAAACAAACUUCCUAGUCAAGCAAGGUUUUUUUAACACUUUAUAAAGAAGUUGCAAAAUGUAUAUGAUUCACUUGAACCACGCAAUACAGGCAUGCAUCACUCGCCUCUUCCAGCCUUUCCUUCCCUCUCACAACCCUCUUCUCUUCAAACCUUUUCCUUUUUUCUUAUGCAGCGGCAUCCACCACCAGCAGCAACAGCCAGGAGACAUUACCACUACCAAACGAGCAGGCACACAACGCAGCAAACUGCAGAUGAGGAAAAACGAGCAUCAUGGCUUUCCAUCACUGGCAGCAGGAAAAAGCCCACAGAUAAUAUCACCACGGGCAGAGCCUGAUCUGAUCAUUGAUUCAGAUCUGAUUGGUUAUCAUCAAAUCAGAAUGAGCAACAGGACAAGUACCCAGGACCCAAACAGUGAAGGGAAAGGAUCAAUGAGCAAAGAACAGACCAGGGUUAUUCUAUAUGUCCAAACAUUAAAUUGAGCCAUCUUAUCGUUUUAUGUAGAGCCCAUGUACGUAUAAAAACUGGUUAACAUUGGAUUUAUCAAUCGGCCUGGUAUUGCUUUUCUUAAAAACAAUACCCAGGUACUGUGAAUUGUGAUGCUUCUGAAAUCACUUCAAGGUGCCUUUCAAAUAGUUACCUGCCAUCUUCCCCUCUUCUAGUGGCCUUCAGCAUUUCAACUCGAAUACCAGGAACCUGAGAAUUUGACACGCGCCAGUUACCAGCCACACCCAUUCCAUUUUUAACAGGUAUCUGAAUCAAUCCCAAACAGCUCCGUCCAUUAUCCUCACGGGACAAGCUCCACUCUAGACAUGUCUUUAUCUUCCUUGAACUGAAAUAAGUCGGUUGUUAGAAUAGGUAUCUGCUCUGCACCAACGGACCCAGUCGACUCAUUCUCAUAUUAACCGAGUGUUCUCCACCACUCUCUCCAAUAUCUCAUCUUAUGACACGCAUAAUCUUAAGCAUCUAUCACUAAGAUGGGAUCAGAGAAGGGUUAUGUUUUCGGUAGCUUUUCUGGCCCUGGUUUAGGAGAUCGAGGAGGUGGGCAAGUAUUCCAACUUCUCACAGAAUUCAUAAUGCUGCCAGCAUCACGCAAGCAUCUGGUUUUAAUUUUUUUGUCCAUGCCUUCUCUUUCCUCUGCCCACACAAUCCUGUGCACCAUUUCUCAUUUCUAUCAGAUCGUGCGAUUUCAACUGUUGCAUUCACGCCUUAUGCACAGUAUCUCUUCAUUCUUCAUUCACGCCUAAGGCCCUCCAAUCUGUAGAUUGCCUCUACUUCCGGAAUUAUGGUCACAUAGAGUCCUUCCAAAAUGCACAUUUGAUCACCAUCUGGCUAUUAUUUUAUGCAUCAGCAUUACGGACCAUGCAUGUUUUCAUACAUUAUUGAGAACAUGAAACUAUUCUGGAUGAGAUUGUUCAUACCUAUUGUCCUCCUACAAGACUGUCAUGAAAGAGGUUAUCAUCCACAUCCCAGCUUGGUUUCUUCUCACAAAGCUGCCAUGAAUGAAGUUAUACAUGCAUGGUUGUGAUCUUCUCAUAUUAUUGUCAUGAACAAGUAAAUCCCUACAUGCAUGCACGAUGUCUUCUUAAAGGAUUAUCGCAAAUGAGUUUAUUGCUUUCUUCCAAGUGAAGACCAUGCUUGGAAGGAGGGGGAAUCGGGACGAGGGAAGGUUGAAACUAAGUCACCCAUUGGAUGACCCCCAGGAAACCUGCCCUGCAUAAGGGAAACUUCUUUGGAUCCCACUGCCUUCGGUCAAUAAAAAAAUAACAUACAAACUGAAUGAACGUCACAUAAGAAGACGAUGAGAAAUACAUGUUUUUUAAAGGCACAUAAAUAAAUGAAACAGGAGUAACCUACCAUUGGUCAGCAUUUUCUUUCAUUCAAGAGGUUUUCAUUUUUUUAAUUGCGGACCAUCAAAGUGGAAUGCGAGACUGGCAAUCCUCAAAUAUGAACAUAAUAGUCGGUGUGAUUUGUUCGUCCCAAAUAGCAAAGUGUUUCAUACUUCUUGUGCAAAGCAUUCUAACUUAGGUAUAAGUAUACUCAAUCGAUUUCCAAGAUUUCUCCUCUACUGCGGGGCAACCAGCCUAUUGAUUUAAUGUGACCAGAUCCCCCAUCUUUUAUUGUGCACGCAUAUGGGGAGAAAGGCGACAGUAAACUAGAAAGAACGAUAAUAUGUUGAAAUUUGAGGGUCAAUUUUCCAAUUGUAUGUUAUUUCCUCGUUCAGGUGUUCUCAACGAUAUAUCAAAUGAUCCCUUCAUAUAAUACAUGCCGAACCUGGAAACCAAGUGGAGAAUACUGGAGUCCUCUGGUUGAUGGACAUGAUAUUUCCACUACGUUAUCUCUAAAGCUGGCUGUGAGAAUGCCGGAAUUCAGAUGGUAUUGUAGCGCAGUGAAAAACUCAGACAUAUGCCAACCAGUGACGUUUGCAAAGCUAUGGUUGAGGGUUACAUGAACGUAUGAGUUAUAAAAUGUAUGAAGCUAAUCAUCCUGCCCUCAAUAAAGCAUGGGGUCAAGGCUCAAUUAGAUGCACAACAGAAGCUGUCGGCACAUAAAUACAAUAAGAGACAGUUAGGGCGUCCAUACCAUAAACGUGCCAGUUAUACACUAUCCAUUGUUCAUGCGAUAGCACUACUACCAUCAGUGGCAAGGAUUUAUAGCUUAUGCUUGAAUCUCCCUGUCCCAAAUCAUUGUCAUAGUUGUGACGAAACAGCGUGAUUCAGCAAAAUGAGGAAUUUGAGCAAGUGACGAUCUAUCUGGGACCUUUCUGCCAGGCUCAAGAGUUUUAAUUUUGGCCAACUACGAUGGGGAGAUCUGGUGGAUCUUCCUGUAAAAUGCAGGAGUGCAUGGUGGCCUAGUUUGAUGCUCUCUGUGGGUACAAGAUACUAACAAUGAGGGAUGGACAAGCAAAUUUUUUUUGUAGUUUCUACAAGUCCCCUAUGAACCAAACCUGGAUUUUGAACCUGGUGGUUCAACUCUGAUAGAAAGUUGCGUAGAAUGUGAAGAUGAAACAAAAAAAAAGACUUAAGAUGGAGAGAAGAGAAGAAGAGUAAUUAAGAAUAUAUGGCUAUGGGCUUGGCAAUAAACAUAGACUACCUCCAUUCCAAAAUUGUCUCGCGGAACAAUGAUUAACAUGACCAUGAUUCAAGUAUGAUUAAAAACAUGAUAGCUAAGUUUGACCACCAUACUCAAAUAAAGUGUUACCUGCCACUGGCAUAUAGUACAUCAUUCAAAGAGUGUGGAAGGAUAAAUCGUGAUCAAGGUACCUUUGAUCUCCUAUGCAGUUUAUCUUUUUACUUCUUAUUUUUCUCGAGUUAGGUGAAAUAUUCCUCUCAUAUUCAGACUCAUGUUUUUUUCUUCCUUUGAGGUACUUAUGUUCCUCUCGGAGGAAGGAGGAGGGAGGAGGAAGAAGACGGAGGAAAGAGGAAUAAGGUAAGGAAAAUGUCAAACCAUCUCGAUGUAUUACUUAUCAUAGGAGAUAAAUUACAAGUUGCGCCAUUGGGAAUCAUAUUAGUCACAUCCUAGAAUGUUGAACAAAUGAAUUUUAUCAAUUUUUCGGGGAAAACGUCAGGUGAAUCAAAUCAUUCUGAACAAGAAAAUUUACAACGUGAUCACAGAGAUGUGAUCGAGACGAGGGAGGCAUGACAUCUUUAGAGCCAAAAUGUAGCAUAAGUUAUAGUAGAAAUAAUGGAAGUUACUGGUUCCUGUAUGAACAACAAAUGCUGCAUGUCAUUCGAAUAAUCAUAUUAGCUUGUCAGUUCACUCCUAGUACAUUAUUUUUGAACUAAAUGAUCUAAAUCUAGCCAAAUAAGAAACCGAGAAUCAGAAAACUUAUAAUACACCUUUUGUAAAUGGGGAAGGAGCAAGAAUGCAACGGGUCUAGAUUCCAAGAGAUACAUUGGAUGAAGAAGAAGGCAGCCCUCUCCAUAAAGAAAUUCGUAAGUGCAGAAAAUCAUCUGAAAUGUCCAAAACCAACAGAGAUCGUCGAAAAAAAUAACAAAAAGUUGGCCAGCACCUUAAAACCAACUUUUACUUCGACCCAAAAACGAAGGAGCCCAAACCCUCGACUGGCAAGAUUCAUCGGAACUACUGACGCCCGACGCGAAGCAAUCAAGUAAUGCGGAGCAUCAGUCCAUAGAAAAAAAUGAGAAACCACCAUAUCUCAAGCGAACCAACCAACUCGACACAAACUCGCCGCUACCUAAAUGAGCCGAAAAUUAAUCUACUAUGACCAAAUUCGAAACGACGGACAGCCAUUCCGAGUACAACAGAAACCCUACAGUUACGCACUGAAAUCGCACGCAUUGAAACUUCUGUAGAAACGCACCAACGGGAUCAACAUAGUAGAAGAUGAGAAAAUAAGACAGGUAAUACCAGGGGACGAUGCAAAACAUAAGACUGUGUCAUAUCUUACAUUUUUUCCUUUCCAGUCUUGGUAGAUUCGAUUGGCCAUGAGAACCAGCACUCGCUCUCACUAUUCUGGCAGGGAGUCAAAGAUACGGAACUCGCUCAUGUUCCCCAGGAAAUAGACAGGAUCCCAAGAGCGGAGGGAGAAAUAGGAUAAUGAAUCUGGCUUCCGAGCGCACUUCGCGAGUCCCCUUCCUCUCGAUGCCGGAGGUGAAGUGGGGAGACGGACUCCAGGCUCCUUUUCUCCCUUUCCCUCCCCGCAAAUGAUUUCCAACAGUCUCCUCCCACAGUAAAGGCGCGCCUCAGAGCGGAAGGGGGGGUGAGGGGGGGGGGGGAGCUCUGCGGCAAUACCUCCCGGAAACUGAACGACUAAGGACUUGAAAGGAUUCGGCCACGUUGAAUGAUUCACCGGGAUGCCCUUAUUGCCCUCCACCUCCUUACAAUUUACCUGCACAACUUUUUAUUCCCCGUCUUCCACCUGCAACUCGCCGCCGCUAGAUUUCCUGCUCCGCGUGGUUGGCCCGCCGUCGCAGAUCCUUCAAUUCUCGCAGUAAAUGCUCACCUCCUUCCGAAUCGGAAACUCUCGCGAUCUGGCGCCCCGAAGUCGAAGCUGGAGACGGCUAUUCCUCUAUCUCCUCUCUCCUCCAUGUCCACCUUGGCCUCGUGUGUUCCCCUUCCCUACCUCUUCUUCCUCUCCG
rnacentral:lncRNA from 1 species